rnacentral:rRNA from 1 species
UACGAAGGGGGCUAGCGUUGCUCGGAAUCACUGGGCGUAAAGCGCACGUAGGCGGAUCUUUAAGUCAGGGGUGAAAUCCUGGAGCUCAACUCCAGAACUGCCUUUGAUACUGGGGAUCUCGAGUCCGGAAGAGGUGAGUGGAACUCCGAGUGUAGAGGUGAAAUUCGUAGAUAUUCGGAAGAACACCAGUGGCGAAGGCGACUCGCUGGACAAGUAUUGACGCUGAGGUGCGAAAGCGUGGGGAGCAAACAGG